UGGCUCUCGGCGGUUAGAACCCACAGAAGACUGAGCAUUUUGGCGUUUAUGCCGCGCAUGGCGCUAGCGCUCUCUGCUGUUCAACGUUAAACACAAGUGGAAAAAGUAGAGAGCCUUGCCUGUUUUGAGACUACAGGGGAAAUUGUUAAUUCCGGGACUCCAAUUUUUCAGCUAGACUGCUUGAUAUGGUUUCAAAGGUA